UACACGCUCUGUAUCUAGGGAUAAACCACUUGCCCCUGUGUCAGAAGUUCUGUUCACUAGGAGACGUCCUCCUCGGGGGGAGAAAAGAGCAGAAGUGAGACAUCACUCCCAGGCAGUCAUGUGAUCAUGACAGAACUCCCAAUGGAAAGAACGGGGCCAUCAAAGAAGGAGGUACCUUUCUCUGAAGGGAGGAGAGAACUUCCACUUUGACUAUGACCCUAUCGGAAUAAGAUCAAAGUCAGCGAACUCUAAGGCUUCCAUAGCCCUGGCAACUCAUGACUAGAGCCUAGGGAGAUUACUGACGCC